GGAGGGAAAAGCUCAGUGGUAGAGCGUGUGCUUAGCAUGCACAAGGGCCUGGGUUCAAUCCUCAGUAUCUCCA
rnacentral:tRNA from 1 species